CCCUUAGAUGUCCUGGGCCGCACGCGCGCUACACUGAUGCAUUCAACGAGUUUUACCUUGGCCGAGAGGCCUGGGCAAUCUUUUGAACCUGCAUCGUGAUAGGGAUAGAUUAUUGCAAUUAUUAAUCUUGAACGAGGAAUUCCUAGUAAACGCAGAUCGUCAAUCUGCAUUGAUUACGUCCCUGCCCUUUGUACACACCGCCCGUCGCACCUACCGAUUGAAUGGUCCGGUGAAGCCUCGGGAUUGUGGCGAGUUCCCUUUAUUGGGAGUUUGUCGCGAGAACUUGUCUAAACCUUAUCAUUUAGAGGAAGGUGAAGUCGUAACA
rnacentral:rRNA from 1 species